rnacentral:rRNA from 1 species
AGCGUAGGCGGUCAAGCAAGUCAGAGGUGAAAGGCAUCGGCUCAACCGAUGUAAGCCUUUGAAACUGUUUGACUUGAGUGCAGGAGAAGUAAGUGGAAUUCCUAGUGUAGCGGUGAAAUGCGUAGAUAUUAGGAGGAACACCAGUGGCGAAGGCGACUUACUGGACUGUAACUGACGCUGAGGCUCGAAAGCGUGGGGAGCGAACA